rnacentral:rRNA from 1 species
UACGUAGGCAGCGAGCGUUGUUCGGAGUUACUGGGCGUAAAGGGUGUGUAGGCGGCCUUCUAAGUUUGGUGUGAAAUCUCCCGGCUCAACCGGGAGGGUGCGCCGAAAACUGGAAGGCUAGAGUGCGGGAUGGGAGAGUGGAAUUCCUGGUGUAGCGGUGAAAUGCGUAGAUAUCAGGAGGAACACCGGUGGUGCAGACGGCUCUCUGGACCGUAACUGACGCUGAGACACGAAAGCGUGGGUAGCAAACAGG